UACGAAGGGGGCUAGCGUUGUUCGGAAUCACUGGGCGUAAAGCGCACGUAGGCGGAUGUGCCAGUCAGGGGUGAAAUCCCGGAGCUCAACUUCGGAACUGCCUCUGAUACAGCACGUCUUGAGUCCGGAAGGGGUGGGUGGAAUUCCUAGUGUAGAGGUGAAAUUCGUAGAUAUUAGGAAGAACACCGGUGGCGAAGGCGGCCCACUGGUCCGGUACUGACGCUGAGGUGCGAAAGCGUGGGGAGCAAACAGG
rnacentral:rRNA from 1 species